rnacentral:rRNA from 1 species
AUUGAACGCUGGCGGCAUGCCUUACACAUGCAAGUCGAACGGCAGCACGGGAGCAAUCCUGGUGGCGAGUGGCGAACGGGUGAGUAAAGUAUCGGAACGUGCCCAGUCGUGGGGGAUAACGUAGCGAAAGUUACGCUAAUACCGCAUACGAUCUAUGGAUGAAAGCGGGGGAUCGCAAGACCUCACGCGAUUGGAGCGGCCGAUAUCAGAAUAGGUAGUUGGUGGGGUAAAGGCCCACCAAGCCGACGAUCUGUAGCUGGUCUGAGAGGACGACCAGCCACACUGGGACUGAGACACGGCCCAGACUCCUACGGGAGGCAGCAGUGGGGAAUUUUGGACAAUGGGCGAAAGCCUGACCCAGCCAUGCCGCGUGCAGGAUGAAGGCCUUCGGGUUGUAAACUGCUUUUGUACGGAACGAAAAGGUUUGGCCUAAUAAGCUGAGCUCAUGACGGUACCGUAAGAAUAAGCACCGGCUAACUACGUGCCAGCAGCCGCCGUAA